CCUGUACACUUAGAUAGGAGCUUUGGAAACAGGGAUGUGGCCAUUUCCUAAAGGUCCAUUCAGCCUGCAGCUUGCCUGAAGUACUCCCUCCUGCUUCCCGCAGGCCCAUCUGCCCCUAGGACAGAGUAACAGCUGUGGAAGUGUGCUCCCUCCCUCACUGGCAGCCAUGGCCAAAGACUCAGAAUCUCGGAGGAUGCUCAGAGGAUGAUGGUGUAAGUAUAAGCCUUAAUCAGCACUGUUAAUAGAACUGACAGCGUGAGUCGUGCAAAGAACUUUGAGAGGAGAGUUUAAAACAGAGAGCUGAGAAACUCAGCUUCUGAAGUUGGAAUGGUUAUUGGCUUUUGAACAACUUGUGAACUAUUCCUUUGUCAGCUUUAGAAUGAAUGAAAUCUUUGUCCUUUUGUUUUUUGUUAAAUACAGGAAAGUCCA
rnacentral:lncRNA from 1 species